CCUACGGGCGGCAGCAGUGAGGAAUAUUGGUCAAUGGGCGAAAGCCUGAACCAGCCAAGUCGCGUGCGGGAUGACGGCCCUACGGGUUGUAAACCUCUUUUGUCGGGGAGCAAAGCGCGUUACGUGUACCGCAUUGCGUGUACCCUAUGAACAAGCAUCGGCUAACUCCGUGCCAGCAGCCGCGGUAAUACGGAGGAUGCGAGCGUUAUCCGGAUUUAUUGGGUUUAAAGGGUGCGCAGGCGGCGAGUAAAGUCAGCGGUAAAAUUUCGGGGCUCAACCCGGGCCAGCCGUUGGAACUGGCGUGCUAGAGUGCGCGGGAAGCAGGCGGAAUGCGUGGUGUAGCGGUGAAAUGCAUAGAUAUCACGCAGAACUCCGAUUGCGAAGGCAGCAUACCGGAGCGCAACUGACGCUCAUGCACGAAAGCGUGGGUAUCGAACAGGAUUAGAUACCCUGGUAGUC
rnacentral:rRNA from 1 species